GUGACCAAGUUAAGUCAAUUAUUUUUGGUACCAUUUCUUUUAAAUUAGAUAAUUUUGGAGUUAAACUCUCCUCCAUUAUGAAUGAAUAAACUGCUUCACGUUGCAUGCCCCAAAUUUUAGAUUCUAUUUUGUUAGAUAUAUUUUCUGUUGGAAAUGUUGAAGGUGCAUAAAUGAAAGAUCUAAUAAAUUUUAUAGUUGAACAAGGAGACAUUGGAGAAGGUAUCAAUUCCUGCAAAAGAUAACAUCAUUAGGUACUUCUCUCAUGAAAAUGUUCAUACUUCCAUAAUCCGUAACCAAAGAUGACACAAAUAUGCUUUGACCAGAUGUCAACGCUUAAAACGAACAGAAAUGAUCGACGCAAAAGGAGAACAUCUUUAAUACACCGAAGAUUUUCUACAUCCACUUGAACACGUUAUUUUUCUCUUUGAUUUUCUUUAAGCAAGAGUAAGGAAAAAAGGUCUAUAAAUAGAAGAAGAGAAAAAAGAGAAAUAUAACAUUGAGGAUAGAAAGAAAUGAAAGAAGAAGAGGAAAGAGAGGAGGUCGUAUUCAACUCUUGAUCCACCGAUUACUAGUUAUUUUACUCUGUUUAAAAUCGACAAUCCCAGCAAUAUGCAUAUAAGCUCAGUCCCUACUAACACAAGUCGAUGACAGAGAUGGUAAACGCGCGAGAAGCCACAUAUUUCUACUUUGUUCUUGUUUCUUUUUUCAUUUUUUAGCCAAGUGUUGUAGUUGUAUUCCUGGCUGAUUAUCGCAUUACUUUAUUAUCUAUCACUACUGCUUAUUAUUACUAUCGUUAUCCACGUUAUCGACAAGAAAUCCGCUUACAGUGAUAGGGACCUAAGUUUAGUUUUAAAUCUUGAGAAGAGGUGAACGUGAAACUCACUAAUCUCAAAUUAUCUUCUUCUUUGGUUUCUUUUUAAAAUUUACCUUUGAAAUUAACCUUUCUAUUUUUUUUUUUAGCGCUAAAUAUAUAUAUUCCAUGUAUUAUAUUUAUUUCUCAUUUAAAUGUAAGUUAAUAAAAAUACAAUAUACAUAUGAAAAUGCAAAGUAUACGUUAAGGGAUGCACUUACCGGCUCGUGAAGAAGCUCGUGAUUCACUAAGGAAAAGCAGAAAAAAUAUGUUAGCAAAAAAGGUUGCUGAGUUCUUUAUAAAAUUGUAGAAACAUCUCUAGUAAUAUUGAACACAUUAUCUUUUGUUACAUUAAAUGAGAUAAUAUGGUAUUUCGCUGCAUAUCAAUUUCUCAUUUCUCUUUGGAGCACAAUCAAACAAAAUUUAUAAAAUGAUCUUUAAAAAGAAGAUAUUGGUAUCGAAAUAUAUUUUACGGGACUAAAAAAAAAUGAUGUUCAAAUAUUUCUUUAAUUGAAGUUGAUAAAAAAAAAAUAAUGUAUAUAAUAAAAAAUAUAUG
rnacentral:misc_RNA from 1 species